GACGAACGCUGGCGGCGUGCCUAAUACAUGCAAGUUGAGCGAUGAAGAUUGGUGCUUGCACCAAUUUGAAGAGCAGCGAACGGGUGAGUAACGCGUGGGGAAUCUGCCUUUGAGCGGGGGACAACAUUUGGAAACGAAUGCUAAUACCGCAUAACAACUUUAAACAUAAGUUUUAAGUUUGAAAGAUGCAAUUGCAUCACUCAAAGAUGAUCCCGCGUUGUAUUAGCUAGUUGGUGAGGUAAAGGCUCACCAAGGCGAUGAUACAUAGCCGACCUGAGAGGGUGAUCGGCCACAUUGGGACUGAGACACGGCCCAAACUCCUACGGGAGGCAGCAGUAGGGAAUCUUCGGCAAUGGACGAAAGUCUGACCGAGCAACGCCGCGUGAGUGAAGAAGGUUUUCGGAUCGUAAAACUCUGUUGGUAGAGAAGAACGUUGGUGAGAGGGAAAGCUCAUCAAGUGACGGUA
rnacentral:rRNA from 1 species